rnacentral:rRNA from 1 species
UACGGAGGAUGCGAGCGUUAUCCGGAUUUAUUGGGUUUAAAAGGUGCGUAGGCGGACGCUUAAGUCAGCGGUAAAAUUGCGGGGCUCAACCUCGUCGAGCCGUUGAAACUGGGUGCCUUGAGUGGGCGAGAAGUACGCGGAAUGCGUGGUGUAGCGGUGAAAUGCAUAGAUAUCACGCAGAACUCCGAUUGCGAAGGCAGCGUACCGGCGCCCAACUGACGCUGAAGCACGAAGGCGUGGGUAUCGAACAGG